GAUCCUGGCUCAGAUUGAACGCUGGCGGCAGGCUUAACACAUGCAAAGUCGAGCGGAAAACGAGUUGUCUGACCUUCGGGGAACGAUAACGGCGUCGAGCGCGGACGGGUGAGUAAUGCCUAGGAAAUUGCCUUGAUGUGGGGGAUAACCAUUGGAAAACGAUGGCUAAUACCGCAUAAUGCCUACGGGCCAAAGAGGGGGACCUUCGGGCCUCUCGCGUCAAGAUAUGCCUAGGUGGGAUUAGCUAGUUGGUGAGGUAACGGCUCACCAAGGCGACGAUCCCUAGCUGGUCUGAGAGGGAUGAUCAGCCACACUGGAACUGAGACACGGUCCAGACUCCUACGGGAGGCAGCAGUGGGGAAUAUUGCACAAUGGGCGAAAGCCUGAUGCAGCCAUGCCGCGUGUAUGAAGAAGGCCUUCGGGUUGUAAAGUACUUUCAGUUGUGAGGAAGGGGGUGUCGUUAAUAGCGGCACCUCUUGACGUUAGCAACAGAAGAAGCACCGGCUAACUCCGUG
rnacentral:rRNA from 1 species